rnacentral:rRNA from 1 species
AUUGAACGCUGGCGGCAGGCCUAACACAUGCAAGUCGAACGAGUGGCGGACGGGCGAGUAAUGUCGGGGAAACUGCCUGAUGGAGGGGGAUAACUACUGGAAACGGUAGCUAAUACCGCAAACCAUCAGAUGUGCCCAGAUGGGAUUAGCUUGUAGGUGGGGAAACGGCGCACCAAGGCGGCGAUCCCUAGCUGGUCUGAGAGGAUGACCAGCCACACUGGGACUGAGACACGGUCCAUACUCCUCCGGGAGGCAGCAGUGGGGAAUAUUGCACAAUGGGCGCAAGCCUGAUGCAGCCAUGCCGCGUGUAUGAAGAAGGCCUGCGGGUUGUAAAGUACUGUCAGCGGGGAGGCGUUACCCGCAGAAGAAGCACCGGCUAACUCCGUGCCAGCAGCCGCGGUAAUUC